rnacentral:lncRNA from 1 species
AAAAAAGGUUCAUACCCAAAUUACAUAAAAACAUCUAUCACAUGUGCCUUCAUUAUCCUCAUCCCUACAACGUUUAUAUGCGCAGACCAAGAAGUCAUUAUAGCAAACUGACAUUGAAUGAUGAUCCAGAUUCUCAAACUCUCACUAACCUUCAAACCAGGCUAUUUUUCUGCAAUAUUUAUCCCCGUAGCACUAUUCAUUACCUGAUCUAUUGUAAAAUUCUCAAUAUGAUAUAUAAACUCAGACCCUAACAUUAAUCCAUUUUUCAAAUAUUUACUUAUUUUCCUCAUCAUAAUAUUAAUUCUGGUUCCCGCCAACAACCUCUUUCAACUCUUUAUCGGAUGAGAAGGUGUAGGAAUUACGUCUUUCUUACUAAUCGGCUGAUGGUAAGGGUGAGCAGAUGCUAAUACAGCAGCCCUCCAAGUGGUUCUGUACAACUGCAUCGGUGAUAUUGGCUUUAUUUUAGCUAUAGCAUGGUUCCUCCUGUCCUCCAACACAUGAGAAUUUCAGCAAACAUUUAUUCUAGAUCCUACCCCCAACUCUCUUCCAUUAAUUAACCUUCUCUUAGCAGCAACAGGAAAGUCAGCUCAAUUCGGCCUCCAUACCUGACUUCCAUCCACCAUAGAAGGUCCAACCCCAGUCUCAGCCCUACUCCACUCCAGCACUAUCGUUAUAGCAGGAGUUUUCCUGCUCAUCUACUUCUACCCUUUAAUAGAAAAUAAUUUAUCAAUCCAAACCUUUACAUUAUGUCUGAGGGCUGUUACUACCUUAUUCACAGCAACCUGUGCUCUAACACAAAAUGACAUUAAAAAAAAUCAUAGCAUUCUCCACCUCAAGCCAGCUAGCCCUUAUAAUAGUCACAAUUGGCAUUAAUCAACCACAUCUAGCCUUCCUUCACAUUUGCACCCAUGCCUUUUUUAAAGCUUUAUUAUUUAUAUGUUCAGGGCUCAUCAUCCAUAGACUCAAUGUUGAAUAACACAUCCGAAAAACAGGAGGGCUAUUCAAGACUUUACCCCUCACUUCCUCCUCCCUUAUUAUCAGCAGUCUUGCACUUACAAGUAUGCCUUUCUUCACAGGCUUUUACUCUAAAGACCUCAUCAUUGAAACUACAAACAUGUCAUACACCAAUACCUGUGCCCUUUUUGUUACUCUUAUUGCCACCUCCUUGACAGCUGUCUAUAGUACCCAUAUUAUUUUCUUCACUCUAACAGGACAACCUCGCUUCACAACUCUGAUUACUAUUAACGAAAAUAACCCCUUCCUAAUCAACUCAGUUAAGCACCUAAUAAUAGGCAGCAUCUUUGCCAGAUUCCUCAUCAUCAACAGUAUCAUUCCUGCUUCAUUCCCCCAAACAAACAUGCCACUCCACCUGAAACUCACAGCCCUAGGUGUGACCAUUUUAGGCUUCUCGCUAGCGAUGGAGCUUAAUUUUAUAACUAAUGACCUUAAACUAAAAUACCCAUUACAGACAUUCAACUUUUCCAAUAUACUAGGAAUUUAUUCAGCCACAAUUCACCAUACAACCUCCCACUCAGACCUAUUCAUAAGCCAAAAUCUGGCCUCACUUCUACUAAACCUAAUUUGACUAGAAGAGUCUAUACCAAAGACCAUUACACAAACCCAAAUUUCAGGCUCCAUUACCGUAUUUACUAAAAAAGGACUAAUUAAACUGUACUUUCUCUCCUUUUUUAUUCCAUCAUUUAUAACACUACUCCUAAUU